UACAACUUUCAACAACGGGUCUCUUGGUUCUGGCAUCGAUGAAGAACGCAGCGAAAUGCGAUAAGUAGUGUGAAUUGCAGAAUUCAGUGAAUCAUCGAAUCUUUGAACGCACAUUGCGCCCUUUGGUAUUCCAAAGGGCAUGCCUGUUCGAGCGUCAUUU
rnacentral:rRNA from 1 species